ensembl:miRNA mdo-mir-12376 mdo-mir-12376
GGCGAGCCUGGGGGCGGGGAGAGAACGGUGGCUGAAGGGACCUCCCCGCCCCCAGGCCGCGCCU